GAUGAACGCUGGCGGCGUGCCUAAUACAUGCAAGUCGAGCGAACAGACGAGGAGCUUGCUCCUCUGACGUUAGCGGCGGACGGGUGAGUAACAUGUGAGUAACCUGCCCUUGACUUUGGGAUAACUUCAGGAAACUGGGGCUAAUACCGGAUAGGAGCUCCUGCUGCAUGGUGGGGGUUGGAAAGUUUCGGCGGUUGGGGAUGGACUCGCGGCUUAUCAGCUUGUUGGUGGGGUAGUGGCUUACCAAGGCUUUGACGGGUAGCCGGCCUGAGAGGGUGACCGGCCACAUUGGGACUGAGAUACGGCCCAGACUCCUACGGGAGGCAGCAGUGGGGAAUAUUGCACAAUGGGCGGAAGCCUGAUGCAGCAACGCCGCGUGCGGGAUGACGGCCUUCGGGUUGUAAACCGCUUUCGCCUGUGACGAAGCGUGAGUGACGGUAAUGGGUAAAGAAGCACCGGCUAACUACGUG
rnacentral:rRNA from 1 species